GGGUGAUCUGGCUACAACAUUUGUUAAACUCAUUUGAUCACCAGGGUGGAUUUGGCUAAUCUGGCUGGCCAGGUGGGUGACCCCUUUCUUCCAAAGUUUCAUGUUAAAUUGAAGAAGACGGCUGUCCUCAAUCGAAGAAGGCUGGUCUUCGGUUAAAGGUAUCUGAGUAGCUGUGCUCCUCUGCUAGAACCACCAAACAAGCGCUCAAAGUUUAAAAUGAUAAGAUUUUAAUGUGGUGAAUUAGAUUCUUAUGUAGUGGUGUAGGUAGCCCUGCUUGAGGAA
ensembl:misc_RNA 7SK 7SK RNA